rnacentral:rRNA from 1 species
GCGGUGCACCGGUCCUGGGUAAGAGGGAGCGGUGCAAGGGCUCAGAGGGCUGGAGAGAUGAAGGGGAGCGGAAGGAAGAAGGGGCCUGCCCGGUCUUCUCUCGUGGUCUGGGUUUUAGGUCCCUAGCAUGGCCGCACAUCCGCCGGCGCGAACGAAGUGACGCAACGGCUCGCUCACCUGUACCCCGACCUCUACCGCGGCCACCUUCGCCUCUCUAGCGGCCUCGUCGGCCUCGACGUCUAAAUGGGCGACACGGCGAUGAUGAAGCCGCGGUCCCUGCGGGCCGGUACGCGGCCGCUCUGACGGCGGCUGGCGCGAGAGGCGGAGUUCCGGUUGAAGCGGCGAGCGCCCGAGGCCUGGUCCCCGCCUGGAUGCAUAUGGGUUGGCCACAGUGUCCUGUGGCCCAUUAAAAACACCAAUUCAGAUAUAUUCAUCGCGUUCAUAAGUACACUGUGGCCAUUUUUCAUAGCUACCUGUGGCCGAUUUGGUGCUUGUUCUGCCUUGCGUUCACGUUCGGGCAGAUUGCCGGGUACACCAGCUAGUUAGACUAACUAACUUACCAGGAUUUUUUUAGACUAAGUUAGAUGCGCAUAGCACGCGGACAACGGAUGACCAAAGAGGGGAGGAGAUGGACUAAAGAGGCCUUCUCUGAAUGGAUGACAAGCGUACACACGGGUAGGCACGAAGGUGCAUGCACUAAAAUAAACUAACCUUGUUUUAUUCUAGGCCGGGGUAGGAGAAUUUUAGUCCUCUACUAAUCUAAUCUUUCUUUUUUUAAUUUUUUGUUGUUGGCCUCUUACUUCACCCUCGUGCCUACCUUCGUACUCCUCCCUAGUCCGUUCGGCCUAGGCUAAGCAGGGUCCGGUAGUAACGGAACGGAAGAAGGACAAGCGGUUGGGCGGUGAGUGGAACGCUGUACGGCCGCAACGAUCUAGCGACGUCUUCUGUAAUGCCGUUUCCGUUGAGCGAGUAGGGAAGUACGUAGAUAAGGUAGAUAAAUAAUGGUAGAUUAACCUAAUUAUAAUAACACAAAAAGAUUAAAAACCUCAUCAAGUGUAGACAAACUCUUAACAUAAAGAUACUAUAGAGUUAAAAAUGCCGCCAAGUGCAGAUAAACGUUUAAUCUAAUGACACUAAAAAUUCAAAACCUCACCAAAAGGUUAAAAGGUUAGUAACUUGUAAAAAUUAACAACUCAAAACUAAAAAUACGUACCGUUCUAUUGUAAUGAACUAUAGGUGCGUAUACACUAUCGUAACGUGACCCUGUGGCCCUGUUAAAACAGGAUCCAGGCGGGGACGAGGCCUGGACGCAGGUACCGCAGGACGACCAGCUCGACAGCCCAGUGGGCGUGCACGACGAGGACGUUCAGUCCUUGAGGAGGAAGGAGGAGGGCCCGCCGGCGGAGUCCGGACGGCUCGUUCUACAGGUUCCGGACUUUGCGUUCGAAAGGUCGUUCGAUCGGCGACGCCUAGGUUUGCCGCUGGUGGUGACCGUCUAGCCCCUCACGUAACCGUACACCACCUCUAGUCUUAAGCUCCGGUCCGGUCAAGGUAUAGGCGGAGGUUCGUGAGCACGUGGGUUCCUUACGCACUUCGACAAGAACCAAUCCGACGGGUACCGAGCGGUCAAGCAGCACGGCUCCUUGGAGUUCGAGGAUCGGCACGGAGACAGGGUCUAAGUGCUGUUACGAGUCCACAUACCGGGUUAGUAUAGACCUUAAGGCUUAGACGAGAGGUUCAAGAGGAAGUUGCAACAUUCCUUGACUCUUCCACGAAACACAGCCCCAAAAAACAUGUUCCCCGACGUAAAAACCAAUUAUCGGUAUCUUGUUAUAUGUCUUGUGCCUGACAGUCUAUUCUGAUACAUGUGCGGUCGACGUCGAUCAAGUCGGGCAGAGGCCAGCCUGCACCGCUACCACCGUGUUCCUGUAAGCAUCGAAGAAUUCCGCAACAACGCCUUUUCCAACUAAAUCAGACUCCUGACGAUGUGUGUGCUACCUAACACCGGCUAGACACCUGCUGUUCGAUAUCGUCGGUAGCUAGUCAACUCAAGUGCACCCGGCGUCGGUAGCUAGUAGUCCAGCAGACUCUUAACAGGUCGCGUAACAGCAGACGUAUCACUAAAGCAAAUCAGAUCCACAAUAAAAGUAUAGAACAUUACCAAGCGGACACCAACGGAACAAAAUAUGAAACGAAGUAUUAAUUAUUUUUUCAACCUCGAUCAAGCCAUUCCGUACAUUUUAGCAUGAUAGUCAAACGAACAGGACGCUUGGUCAAACACUUGUU